rnacentral:rRNA from 1 species
UACGUAGGGGGCAAGCGUUGUCCGGAAUCAUUGGGCGUAAAGCACGUGUAGGCGGCCCGGUAAGUCCGCUGUGAAAGUCGGGGGCUCAACCCUCGAAUGCCGGUGGAUACUGUCGGGCUAGAGUACGGAAGAGGCGAGUGGAAUUCCUGGUGUAGCGGUGAAAUGCGCAGAUAUCAGGAAGAACACCCGUGGCUAAGGCGGCUCUCUAGUACGGUACUGACGCUGAGACGCGAAAGCGUGGGGAGCGAACAGG